rnacentral:rRNA from 1 species
GACGAACGCUGGCGGCUUGCUUAACACAUGCAAGUCGAACGGAAAGUCCUGCUUUCCCUUGUGUGUUGCGGGUACUCGAGUGGCGAACUGGUGAGUAACACGGUAGUGAUCUGCCCCCAACUUGGGUAUAAGCCUUGGAAACUGGGUCGAAUUCCCGAUAGGACUGCAGGGUGGUGCCUUUUGUGGAAAACGAUUUUCUAGUGGUUGGGGAUGAGCUCGCGGCCUAUCAGCUUGUUGGUGGGGUCAUGGCCUACCAAGGCGGCGACGGGUAGCCUGCCUGAGGGGGUGGACGGCCAGAUUGGGACUGAGAUACGGCCCAGACUCCUACGGGAGGCAGCAGUGGGGAAUAUUGCACAAUGGGCGGACGCCUGAUGCAGCGACGCCGCGUGGGGGAUGACGGCCUUCGGGUUGUAAACUCCUUGCGACCGCGAGGAAGCCACCUGGUUGGAAGGGUGGUGACGGUAGUGGUAGAAGAAGCACCGGCUAACUACGUG